CUUCCAAACCGCACGGCACCCAACCGCGUGCCACUGCGCCGAGGCGCUCCGCUCCCGCCGCAGUGCCGCACCUCGCCACGGCCGCAGACGGGUAGACCCCGACGAGGAUCUCUGCGCUCGCGCCGCGGCUGCGGAGGAAGUCGUGCCAGCCAGGCCUCUCCCCCCGCCGCCGAUGUCCGGGAGGAGAGGAUAGAGCGCGCCUGGGCGCACUGGAGGCGGCUGGAGUCCCGAGGCUGGUGGCGGCGGCGAUGGUGGACAACUCGGAGCUGCCCUUCCGCAUGAUGUCCCGACGCUACGGCGCUGACGCGGCACACACGCCCACGAUCCACUCCCGCGUCUUCUCCGAGAACGAGAGGUACAGGUCCACGGAGUUCACCACGUGCAAGCUCCUUGCAGCCUCUGGGCUUGAUCCUAGUAAUGUGAAUGGUCAAGGAUCAAGUCAAACAGAGAAUUCAAGUAACAAUACUCCAUCUGCAUCUUUCCCGGCCGGUGCUGCAGUUCCUCCCACUUUUGCCUUCAUGGCCUUAGGUAAUGAAGGAAAUCGUGCACACCAAGCUUCUAUUGGUCAUGAAGGGGAACAUGGUGAACCAGACGUACAAAGAGAUGAUGCUAUCCAUAUAAUCUUGACUGGAUCCGAGCAAGCUUCAGUGGUUCUGUGAGCUGUGAUGCAGAUGUUUGGGCCUCAGCUGGGUCCACAUGAAGGCGCACCUAGAGGACCAGGUUGAUGUGAGAACCAGGAAAAUGUGUUAUGUGGUUCAUAGUUCAAUUCUGGUCUGCAGAAGUCUUAUACGGCAUGUUCUCUUGUCCUUCCAUCAAAAUUCUUCCUGAUCUACGUGGAAGUUCUUGGGCACCUUAUUGCAGUAUGUCUGUUCUAUUCCACCUUGAAGUUUCCUGCAUUUGUUGUCCUGGCAUAUGCUCAGUUUAACUGCUUUCUGCAUCUCAGCAUCAAUGUAUCAUUAGUGCAUGUUGAAUCUUGUUUGUUGAAAUUCUUUUGUGAUGUCUGUUUGGCCAUUUUAUUUGUCGGGGUAUGUCUGUUCAAUCUUGUCUACAGAGAUAGUUUGGACACCUUAUCGCAGUACGUCUGUUCUGUUCCAUUCCACCUUAAUGUUUCCUGCAUUUGCUGUCAUGGCAUAUGCUCAGCUUACCUGCUUUCUGUUUGCGAUGCUUGGGAUUGCAGGACCUUGGUGACCCAGCUGCCAGGCAAACUCAAAUCCAUGAUCCUCACAGCUGUUAUGUGGAAUAUCUGGAAGGCGCGGAACGCCAAAGUCUUCUAGGAUGAGGUGAUUGCCAUUCCUCAGUCCUUUGUCUGGCAGCCGCUGACCUCGACCUCUGACUACAUAGAGCUGGCGACCCGGCUGACCACGCUAGGUUGCGCGCUUGGAGCGAGCUCUUUGUUCAUGUAAUAAUGUGACGUACUAGUUACUUUCUCUCUACCCUAAACUUCGCAAAUCCUGUACGCCAAACCUUUGCAUAUGAAUAAAACCGUUCAGGUCGGCGUUAAGCCUGCCGCAGUUCCUCUAA